rnacentral:rRNA from 1 species
UACAGAGGUCUCAAGCGUUGUUCGGAUUCAUUGGGCGUAAAGGGUGCGUAGGCGGCGCGGUAAGUCGGGUGUGAAAUCUUGGAGCUUAACUCCGAAACUGCAUUCGAUACUGCCGUGCUUGAGGACUGGAGAGGAGACUGGAAUUUACGGUGUAGCGGUGAAAUGCGUAGAUAUCAAGAGGAACACCUGCGGCGAAGGCGGGUUGCUGGGCCGACACUGACGCUGAAGCGCGAAAGCUAGGGGAGCGAACGGG